AUUGAACGCUGGCGGCAGGCCUAACACAUGCAAGUCGAGCGGAUGAGUGGAGCUUGCUCCAUGAUUCAGCGGCGGACGGGUGAGUAAUGCCUAGGAAUCUGCCUAUUAGUGGGGGACAACGUUUCGAAAGGAACGCUAAUACCGCAUACGUCCUACGGGAGAAAGCAGGGGACCUUCGGGCCUUGCGCUAAUAGAUGAGCCUAGGACGGAUUAGCUAGUUGGUGAGGUAAGGGAUAACCAAGGCGACGAUCCGUAACUGGUCUGAGAGGAUGAUUAGUGACGCUGGAACGGGGACACGGUCCAGAAUGCUACGGGAGUCAGCAGUGGGGAAUAUUGGACAGUGGGCGAAAGCCUGUUCCAGGCAUGCCGGGUGUGUGAAGAAGGUCUUCGGAUUGUAAAGCACUUUAAGUUGGGAGGAAGGGUUGUACGUUAAUACCGUGCAAUUUUGACGUUACCGACAGAAUAAGCACCGGCUAACUCUGUGCCAGCCGCCGCAGUAAUAC
rnacentral:rRNA from 1 species